UUUCCCUUGAUUUUGUCCCAUUGUCUUGCAUUCAACAUAAAUUUAACGAGAAAUUACGUCCUUUCUAAGUGUGGGGUGUUUUAAAGUUCUAUUCACUUGGUACAGUUCCCAUUCAGUUGGUGAGUACUCCGCGCAGUGCAACGUAUACACACAUAACUCGAAUUGUGACAGGCAAAAUGGUGGUGACCUAUUAAUAACAUCCGUCCAAUUCUCCCUCGCUUUUCCAUUCAGUCUCCAACUAACUGCAAGUUGCACAGAUGGCCAUCUAAAGGGUAAAUUGGUGUUAUAGCUUUAGAGAUCGUUUCGAAUCACAUUGACAAUCAUGCGAAACGUUCUCCGAAGCAAAAACUCAUACAAGUAACGAUUUCCGAACAGUCGAAAUGUUUAAGUUGAAUUGUCUUACGGACAGUAAGAUGAGUACGACUAUUUGGAAAUCACAAACGAAUUGUUUUCAUGAUUGACACGCUUGUCAAGCUGCAAAACAAAAUGAAAGAAAUACAAUACAAAAAGCAAAUAUCUAUGAACGCAACAUUGUACUAGUCGCACUGAGAACUAAAGUCUUAAAAGACGUGUAAAAUGUUGCAAAUUAAGCAAAUAUAUAUGCAUAUAUGGGUAACGUUUUACGCGCCUUAACCAGUCAAAACACUAAAUAAAUUGGCCAAUUUCAUAUAACUAGUGAAAUGUUAUACGAAACUUGCCAAUUGUCAAAUAAUCCAGAUCUAUUUAGAGCAAGAUGGCAAUAGAUAGGUGAUCUCCCUCGUAUACGAGUCUUGAAUGAAAAGAGAAGGCGAACCGUGCUGAAUUAGAGUGAGAUGGCCAUAUUACUUACCUACUCUAUAAAAAAAUACGUUUAAAUAUUUCAUAUCCGCCAUUUUGUUGGCGCUAAAUUCGAAAUUCGAGGUGCUUUUAAGGCUGCCAUCUUGUCUUUUAGGGUGACCAGCAUUGCCAUUUGUAUUAUAUAUUACAAAUAAAAACUUAAUUGCCAUUAAAAAUAAA